CUGUUAUCCUCAUUUCUCAUGUUGUUGGACCGAGAUCACUCAACUAGGAAAAAUCAAAUGGAUAUAGCCACAAAUAAGACACCGCAUAUGAAGUGCAGGUUACAACAUGAUAUAUAUUUAACUGAGAUAAAAAGAAAGGCGGCGACAGACUGCAAAAUGUUAACAGUAAAUAAUCGAGUAGCACUGAUGUAGAGCAACAGUUCUUUCUUCAGAUCCUCACAGUUCCUUUUCCUUAAGGUGACAUGUUGAAUUUUCAGUGACCUGUAUGAGAGUGAGAGCAAUAACACCAAAUAAUAUGUCACAUCACAUCAGGACACUUCCACUCAUGUUGGACUCACCUUUGUGACAAGAGGUUCACACAUUAGAGGUAAAGAGGUAAAUCAGCAAAUGUUCACUGUUCUACAAACUGUACAGUCACUACUUUACAUUGGAGCAUAGUGUAAUUUCAUCAGUGUCACAUAAUAAGAUAAUAGAAUGUUUACACAAAUGUUAAGGUGGACUCACUUUUGGGAGAUACCGUAGUCAAAAAUUAAAAAGAAAAAAACAAAUAGGCCUCAGCAAAAAAGCAAAAAUAGAUCACUUCUUUGAUGUUGUGAGUUAUGUCACAGCUGUCUAUAAUAAAUGAUUAGUAGUUUAUUUAUCACUGCUAGUGCUGCAUUUAUGUAUGUAAAUCUGCUGCCAGUGGAUGAGCUGAGUUUACCACCAAAGGUCACACAUUGUAAUCACUGUGAUGUGCAGGAAGAGUAAAAACAACAAGCAAAAAGCCAACAACAACCAUUACUUACUUACACUUAUACUUAUACUCUUAAGGCCAUUCACAACCAACCCUUCUUUUCCAUUGCUCCAAGCCAGACUUCAAACUCACCUGUUUAAUUGCAUUUAAGUGAUACUUCAGACUCAAAGUACUACAGGGAUUCAGAUUCUGUUUUGACUUGUUUUCACGAGCCAUUUGGAAUAGAUGUGAUGUCCGUGUAAGACGCCUUUAUUCUAUUCAGUUCCAGUUCAGUGAGCACUGCGGCUGUCUUAGGCCCCGCCACCCAAAUGCUUUAAUUGGUUAGGAAGCAUGUCUCAGGCCAGUACUGAUUGUCACGGAACGGCAGGGAGAGGACUCAAAUGCACAGCGCCAGGACACGAUGAGCAGGAAAACAGUCCGGGUCAUACACAGGGAAAUAUCAAAAGGCUCAGAUCUCAGGGUUAGAUUCGGCAGGCUUAGACAGAUCCACAAACAGGCAGGGUUCGGUAACAGAGUCAAGACUUACAGCACCGGUCAGGAUCAGGCGAGAACGAUGGUCAAAGAUACGGAACAGAGUCAACAACAGAAUAAGCCGAGCUAGAGAAGUGCUGGAACGUGAGGUCAAAGAAUCAACGAUCUGGCGAGGUACUGGUGUGAGAAGGGGUGCUUAAAUGCAAGGUGAGUGAUUACUGAUGAACUGCAGGUGUGUACAAUAACCGGGUGAAGCAGGAACAGCUGUGACGUGACGUAAACCGGAAGUGAAGCUAGAAGAAAAACAGAAACCGGGAGACUACCAAAAUAAAACAGGAAAUGGAAACCCAAAACAUGAAUAUAAGGCUGAUGAACAGAGUCCUACAAAAUAAAACCGAGAACAGAACCAGAACCUGACACUGAUCAACAACCCACUUCUCCUGUGACCCUUCAUUUGUAUGAGUAUUCAGAGCCUGUGUUAACGCACAUUGUCUGUUGCUGAUGAUGAUGAUGCUAAUGAUUACCAUGUUAAUGUGCCCAGCACCAAUAUAUAUAUAUAUGUACGUGUGUGUGUGUGUGUGUGUGUGUGUGUGUGUGUGUGUGUGUGUGUGUGUACAGUAUACAGAUAUACAGUAUGUACAGUCGGGUUAAGUUACUUUUAUUCAACCAGCAAGGUAAAUGACACAUGCUUUUUUAAAAAUAUAUGAAGACAAUUAUAAAGAGGCUUUAUUGUGGUAAAAAGCAAUUAUCUUUUAUUUGAGGAGACCCUCCAACCUGAAAGGAGCUCAUUGCUAAAGAUGAAUGGACAAAAAUACCAGUGAAGACAUGCAAAAAGCUGGUUAGUGUUUGAUUGCUGUAAUAGCCAAUAAAAGCUUCUUUUUUUUUUUUUGUUCUGUCCAGCAGUUUAACAAGCAGCAUAUCUUACGCUGAAUGCCAUAUUGUGAUGGGCAGCUUUGCUUUAACAAGAGGGGUAUAUAUAAAAUAUAUAAACUCUUCUUGAUUUAUGGUUUAUUUAAUGGUUUAUUUAGCUAAUCCCAAAUAUGUGUGAUGUUGCUGUGUUGGUGGACAGGUUAAGUUUUUGCUCUAGGGUGUGGGUGUGGGUGGAGGGGUAGGGGUGCAACCAGCUCCUGAAACCAAGCAAAUCUGUUAAAUAAACAAUCGGUGCAAAAUAAAUAAGCAAGAAUGUACCUUAGGCUAACACAUUCAUAACUAAACAACUGUUGUACUGUGGUUUACCUUGGAGAUUAAUACUAAUACCGAUAAUAGCGUUAAGGUAUGUGCACAUACUCAUACAAACAUAUAUAUAUCAUAUACAUACACAUAUGCAUUGUUAUACAUAUCCCAUACUACUUAAUAAAAGUCAUGACAUACAACACCACAAUUUCCAUAUUUAUAAAUUAUUGAUAUUGGUAGUGAUAAGUAUUAGUAAUACUUACAGUUGGAUUUGGAAAGCCUGUUCGGGUUUUCAGUGUCCUACAACAAGGUUAGUAAGGCUGUAGCUUAACAUUAUUCACCUAAAGGGUGAGACAGACUUUGGUGCAUGAACAAGGCCACUUGUGGAAGCCAGGGUGAUGUAAGGAGCUCGGCCGCUACGCCCAUCCAACAAGCAGAGGAAAGAAUCCUAGCAGCUAGGGAGCCCACACACCUUCAGUUCUAAGAGGGCAGGUGUUGCGACCCAAGCCGCCCACACAGAGCCCCCCAGGCAGAGCUGCAGCAGCCACAGAGACAGCACCCGAGGUCAGAGUGGGCCACCGACGGUCAACGCUGUCCGCCCCAUGUGAACCAAGGGCAAACACUCCCCCCGGCAAGAGGGUCAGCCUAAAAGAGUGGAGCCGGAGGACCCACGGUCCGUAGAGAGCCCGCCAGGAGAUGCCCCCGUGCGCAGAGCGAACACGAGCGAAGCGGGGCCUACCCCAUCGGCCCAACUCAUCCCCUGGCACCACACCGGCCUGCAGCACAAGGCCAGCAAUUGGUGGGGGUCAGCAGAAAAGAGACCACCCAGGCAGACGAUCAACGUACCCCGGGCGGAAAACCGGACCCCCCACACUCUAACCGCACCACACCCAUACAAACUCACACAAACACAGACGCAUACACCCACCCACACGUACAACACACAUCAUCACAUCAACACACAUACACCAUAAACUCUCUCACAACAAACUAGUCAAUCAUACGUGAACCAAUGCACUCCCAGAUACGUUCUCGCACCCACACCAUUCGCUUGAUCACACUCGUGGGGAGGGUAGGUCUCCGUCCUGCCCUCCAUGUGGCCCCAGGCAGGGACUGCAGCUCCUCCCGAGCCCCGCCCAACCCCCCAAGCCGGGGGAGGCAGAGGGCAGCAAAAAAGGUACCCCAGAACCCUGCAACCCAGCUUGGACGUGAGUGUGUUGAACAAAGGGGAACUGAAGGUGGGUGACACCUCCAGGAGCACGACCGCUGGCUGACGGAGUGUCCCAUGGACAGUGCGCCCCCUCAUCCUAAAUGUCUUUUUGCAGUUAAAACUGGGUGGUGAUCCCUCCACCAGGGCCAGUGGGCGAGGCCACAACUGGCCUCAGCCCCAGGCCCCAGUAAAAGAGCCCACCCCCGGCCCUAAAUGUAUGUGUAUGUGGCUAAGUAUGAGGAACUUUGGGAGAUCGCCAAUUCUCCGAGGGGUCCAGCAGACCGAGCCAUCAAUGUGAAGGCUACGUCCAGUGGCCCCCCCAGAAGGGCCCCCCAGAUUCCUGGACGAGUGUGUAUGACUAAUGCAAUUAAAACUGCAGAGCAUCCCACUUGGGAGGGAUGGAACCACUUCCUGAUAGCUCUGGUCCCUCCAUCAGCAGGACGCCCCUUGCAGACCUAAGUGGAUGAAUGUGGAGAAAUGUAGUUGGGAAGCAGAGCACCAGGGUCCGCAGAGCCAGGUUUCCGACUGGCUCUGCUUACCAACCCACCGCCCCCCACAACCCCCAGCCAGGAAGAGAUAGCUGAGACCCAGGGACCACAGUACUACUGCCCAGGCACCACACGCAGCACAGCCAGAGCCAUCCUCACCCUUCUUUCACACUUACCCAUUCUCUCGCUCACGUAUGCCCAUGCCCGCCCCGUGUAGUGCUACACUCAAACCUACACACAUACUCUGCAGUUGUGCAUUGAAGGCCAACCUCCGCCCAGGGCCCAAUGAAGGUCGUAGCCCGAGUAGUCCGCCAACCACCCCUGCAACAGGCCCGAGCAGUUACCAGAGGGCGUCGGACCGCUAGGGCAGGCAGCACCCCACCCGAGCAGGGGCAGCGCCCCAGGGAAGAGACACCCCUCCGGGCACAGGCAGGCACCCCCAGAGGGACUCCCCCAGACACAGGUCACCCAGGUCUCCACCCCCAGGUCCGCCCCUCGUACACCGGCAGGGAGGCCCGCCUCCACUCCCUGGAGACAGGCACACACCAACCCUCAAAGUGGCCCUACUCCAGCACAGGACCGCCGGUCUCAGCAGCCACCACACGCCCGCCGCAGGGGACCCAUACAGCCAGCCCAGAAUCCACCAGUCCCGUUGUCCCGGUUCCUUAGGUAGGCAGGCACCCCCAACCACCAGUCACCCCCCACCACUGUGCCAGACAUGGUACCCAAGCACCCGAGCUCCACACAUCCUUGAACCCUGAUGAAGCAGACAAUGUGUGUAAGGUGGUAUAAUCUAACAAGCUGUUCAGGUAUUGAGUAAUGCUUAAUUUUUUUUUUAGUUUUCCAGUUCAUAAGGAUGAUUUUCUUUGCGACACAGAGGGCAGAAAGAAGUGCGUGUGAUGAGUUUGUCUCUAGAGCAAGCCCACUUAGAUCUCCUAGAAGACAAAGUGCAGGGGCCGCAGGGAUUGAACAGCUUAACUGGGUUGACUGGUGUUCACAUACUCUUUGCCAAAAUUGCACAGGUGGACAGAAUGCAUGUAGGAAUCUAUCUGCUGUGUUAUCUGUACAGUGAGGGCAAAUAUUUGAGUUUGUGAGACCCAUUUUGAACAUCCUUUGUCCUGUAUAGUGAGUUCUAUGAAGAAUUUUAUAUUGUAUUAGUUGUAAAUUUGUAUUUUUUGUCAUUCUGAAUAAAUUAGAAUUAGUGAUGUUGAGAUCAGCUUCCCAUUUAGAGAUCGGAAGGCUCACUGACUGAUCUACAUUGGAAAUUAAGAUAUAGAUUUUGGAUACUGUCCUUUUCCCUGAUAUAUCAAUAAAUCACUCUAUUACUGGUGGUGGUUGCAUGUGGAUGGGAGUAUUCUUACUUUUUGCAUUAAGUAUUGACCUUAGUUGUUGGUAUUCUAAGAAAUUGGCCCUAGUGAUUUUAUAGUGGGACACUAAUUCUUUAAAAGAGGUAAACUUGUCUCUUGUGAAAACAUGUUUCAGAUGUGUCAUCCCUUUGAUAUGCCAAGUUGGAAAGUGUAUUGCCUUUUUGUUUUGUAUGAUGUCUGGAUUGUUCCAGAGAGUUGUGUUUUGGCAAAGAGUAAGCGAAGACCGAUUAAUUUUAAAGGGCUCAUAUCAUGCAAAAUCCACUUUUUAGACAUUUUGGAGCGUCCCUAUGACUCUAUGGGUCACAUAUACACACACUGAGCACGGUAGAAAUGCAUUUCCUGCUUUUUUCACAUUUUGAAAACGUAAUUUUUCUCAUCCAAUGGAGAGAGAUAUCUACUGUUCUGAGGCCGUUCCCCAAGUUUCGUCACAGUGGUUGAAAGUUCUCCUUGCAAAUCCUGAACCACCACCCCCACAAUGAUCCCGAACCAAAACUGGAGUUCCGCCAUUUCCCCCUCUCACUCACCAUGAACAGACCAGCACGGCAGCGCCCAAGUCCUCCCAUAGAAAUAGUUCAGUUCUUAGGUGUUCUAACCAACACCAAAGUCUAUUCACUUUACCAAUGGAUCAACAGGUGAGGACUUUGUGGGUCACUUUUAUUUUUAACGGACCGGUGUCAGAAACACUGCCUCAGCAUUUAUACGUAUGUGCAUUUCAAACGAGGGUGCGUACAAUGCUGGAUUUGUUUCACGGCUCCUGUUGGAAAAAAAGGACCUAUUCCUACAGUCCGUCAUCCACUCACUGCAGGAGGCACAUCCCAGUUACCUACAUGCAAGGAGGCUGUCAAACAGAGAAAUCACUGCAGACUGUUGGUACACAGGCAUCUGCUGCCCAGCUCAGGAGUAAAGUACCUUUUGUUUUGAUGAGGUGAUGGUGAGGACAGCCACAGCUUCCAUCUGGUAGAGGACUGCUUCCGCUCAGUCUUCCAAAUAGUGAUGAGAACAAGGAUCACCACAUCUCCCUGUUUACCCUACUUUCAUGCAUUUCGUCUGCAAGGCCCUGCAAAAGCUUCUGUCCUCAAACCCCCAGACUUCUUAAUUAACUCAGUAACCUAUACAUUGCACAUUGGAGUGUGAAGGUAACAGUUUGUUCUAGCUUUGGAGUAGUGGUGUAUUUUUUUGGUUUACAAUAAAGUUGGCUUUAACUAUUA